rnacentral:rRNA from 1 species
CCUACGGGUGGCAGCAGUGGGGAAUAUUGGACAAUGGGCGAAAGCCUGAUCCAGCCAUGCCGCGUGUGUGAAGAAGGCCUUCGGGUUGUAAAGCACUUUCAGUGGGGAAGAAAGCCUUGGGGCUAAUACCCUCGAGGAAGGACAUCACCCACAGAAGAAGCACCGGCUAACUCCGUGCCAGCAGCCGCGGUAAUACGGAGGGUGCGAGCGUUAAUCGGAAUUACUGGGCGGAAAGCGCGCGUAGGCGGUCUGAUAAGCCGGUUGUGAAAGCCCCGGGCUCAACCUGGGAACGGCAUCCGGAACUGUCAGGCUAGAGUGCAGGAGAGGAAGGUAGAAUUCCCGGUGUAGCGGUGAAAUGCGUAGAGAUCGGGAGGAAUACCAGUGGCGAAGGCGGCCUUCUGGACUGACACUGACGCUGAGGUGCGAAAGCGUGGGUAGCAAACAGGAUUAGAUACCCUUGUAGUC